CUGUUAUUUCAGAUUCCUCCACUUUUGAUCCCUCAUUUUACGUGCCAUGUAUGCAGAUUAUGCUGACGUGAUGGAAUGAGCGAUCAAAAGUGGAAGAAUUUGAAAUUACAG
rnacentral:pre_miRNA from 1 species